CAGGCCUAACACAUGCAAGUCGAACGAGAACGGGCUUUAGUUUACUAAAGUUGUCAGCUAAGUGGCGCACGGGUGAGUAAUAUAUAGGUAACGUGCCUCUUACAAAAGAAUAACAGUUGGAAACGACUGCUAAUGCUUUAUAUGCCUCUAUCACAUAAGUGAGCGAGAGAAAGUUUUUUCGGUAAGAGAUCGGCCUGUACGGUAUCAGCUUGUUGGUGAGGUAAUGGCUCACCAAGGCUAUGACAUCUAACUGGUUUGAGAGGAUGAUCAGUCACACUGGAACUGAGACACGGUCCAGACUCCUACGGGAGGCAGCAGUGGGGAAUAUUGCACAAUGGAGGAAACUCUGAUGCAGCAACGCCGCGUGGAGGAUGACACAUUUCGGUGCGUAAACUCCUUUUAUAUAAGAAGAUAAUGACGGU
rnacentral:rRNA from 1 species